rnacentral:rRNA from 1 species
GAUAACGCUAGCGGCAGGCCUAACACAUGCAAGUCGAGGGGUAGCAGGAUUAAGCUUGCUUAAUUGCUGACGACCGGCGCACGGGUGCGUAACGCGUAUGCAACCUACCUUAUACUGGGGUAUAGCCCGGAGAAAUUCGGAUUAAUCCCCCAUAGUACUAAUGAAUCGCAUGGUUUAUUAGUUAAAGCAUUGCGGUAUAAGAUGGGCAUGCGUCCUAUUAGCUAGAUGGUGAGGUAACGGCUCACCAUGGCUACGAUAGGUAGGGGGCCUGAGAGGGUGGUCCCCCACACUGGUACUGAGACACGGACCAGACUCCUACGGGAGGCAGCAGUGAGGAAUAUUGGUCAAUGGGCGCAAGCCUGAACCAGCCAUGCCGCGUGCAGGAAGAAUGCCCUAUGGGUUGUAAACUGCUUUUAUUUGGGAAUAAACCUCUUCACGUGUAGAGAGCUGAAGGUACCAAAUGAAUAAGCACCGGCUAACUCCGUGCCAGCAGCCGCGGUAA